rnacentral:rRNA from 1 species
GGGGAAUUUUCCGCAAUGGGCGAAAGCCUGACGGAGCAAGACCGCGUGGGGGAUGAAGGUUUGUGGAUUGUAAACCCCUUUUGACAGGGAAGAAGUUCUGACGGUACCUGUCGAAUCAGCCUCGGCUAACUCCGUGCCAGCAGCCGCGGUAAUACGGAGGAGGCAAGCGUUAUCCGGAAUUAUUGGGCGUAAAGCGUCCGUAGGUGGUUCAGUAAGUCUGCUGUUAAAGCGCGGGGCUUAACUCCGUAUAGGCAGUGGAAACUACUAGACUAGAGUGUGGUAGGGGUAGAGGGAAUUCCCAGUGUAGCGGUGAAAUGCGUAGAUAUUGGGAAGAACACCGGUGGCGAAGGCGCUCUACUGGGCCAUAACUGACACUGAUGGACGAAAGCUAGGGGAGCGAAAGGGAUUAGAUACCCCAGUAGUC